ACUGCAAGAAGUGACAGUGAUGUCAUUUCCACCAAUCUAACUGCAAAGGUUCUUGAUUUAACAGGAAACUCAAGUUCACCAAAGCAUCUCAACACUCUGGUCCAGAACACUGUAGCUCAGCUAAAGAAUCAAUAUCUACUGUCUCGGGAACGGAUAGGACAAAUCAUCUCUUCAGUGGCCAAUAAAGUCAACCGUCAAUCUAAUAAAAGAAAGAAGGAAGACAGGCGAAAGCUCAGGGAGGAUAUGCUGGACAUAAUGGUUGACACUAUGAAUGAGGUCCCGUGUAGCUCUACAAAGGA